GACGGAGGGUGCAAGCGUUGUUCGGAUUGACUGGGCGUAAAGGGCGUGUAGGCGGUCGGCCAAGUCUGAUGUGAAAGCCCGAGGCUCAGCCUCGGAAGUGCGUCGGAAACUAGUCGGCUGGAGCGCGAUAGAGGAGGGUGGAAUUCCUGGUGUAGCGGUGAAAUGCGUAGAUAUCAGGAAGAACACCCGUGGCUAAGGCGGCUCUCUAGUACGGUACUGACGCUGAGACGCGAAAGCGUGGGGAGCGAACAGG
rnacentral:rRNA from 1 species